UUUUGAACUUUAAUAAUGGACU
rnacentral:siRNA from 1 species